GCCGCAGCUUACCAUGCAAGUCGAACGAACUCUUCGGAGUUAGUGGCAGACGGGUGAGUAACGCGUGGGAAUAUACCUUUCGGUACGGAACAACAGUUGGAAACGACUGCUAAUACCGUAUGCGCCCUAUGGGGGAAAGAUUUAUCGCCGAAGGAUUAGCCCGCGUUGGAUUAGCUAGUUGGUGGGGUAAAGGCCUACCAAGGCGACGAUCCAUAGCUGGUCUGAGAGGAUGAUCAGCCACACUGGGACUGAGACACGGCCCAGACUCCUACGGGAGGCAGCAGUGGGGAAUAUUGGACAAUGGGGGCAACCCUGAUCCAGCCAUGCCGCGUGAGUGAUGAAGGCCCUAGGGUUGUAAAGCUCUUUCAGCGAGGAGGAUAAUGACGUUACUCGCAGAAGAAGCCCCGGCUAACUUCGUGCCAGCAGCCGCGGUAAUACGAAGGGGGCUAGCGUUGUUCGGAAUCACUGGGCGUAAAGCGCACGUAGGCGGAUUGGUCAGUUAGGGGUGAAAUCCCAGAGCUCAACUCUGGAACUGCCUUUAAUACUGCCAGUCUUGAGUCCGAGAGAGGUGAGUGGAACUCCGAGUGUAGAGGUGAAAUU
rnacentral:rRNA from 1 species